CAAGUCGAAGGAGAAGGCGAGCUUCGGUUCGCUGGAGACUGGCGCACGGGUGAGUAACGCGUAGGUAACCUGCCUGUUGCUGGGGGAUAACAGUCCGAAAGGACUGCUAAUACCGCAUGAAGCAGCGGCUCCGCAUGGAGACAGUUGUUAAAGCUCCGGCGGCAACAGAUGGGCCUGCGUGCCAUUAGCUAGUUGGUAGGGUAACGGCCUACCAAGGCCAUGAUGGCUAGCUGGUCUGAGAGGAUGAUCAGCCACACGGGGACUGAGACACGGCCCCGACUCCUACGGGAGGCAGCAGUGAGGAAUUUUGCGCAAUGGGGGCAACCCUGACGCAGCCACGCCGCGUGGUGGAUGACGGUUCUAUGAAUUGUAAACACCUUUUGCCAGGGAAGAAUCCCGGGGUUUCGACCCCGGUUGACGGUACCUGGUGAAUAAGCACCGGCUAACUCCGUGCCAGCAGCCGCGGUAAUACGGAGGGUGCAAGCGUUGUCCGGAAUCAUUGGGUGUAAAGGGUGCGUAGGCGGGCUUGUAAGUCUGGGGUGAAAUCCCACCGCUCAACGGUGGAAUGGCCUUGGAUACUGCAAGCCUUGAGUAUGUCAGAGGUCGGUGGAAUUCGUGGUGUAGCGGUGAAAUGCAUAGAGAUCACGAAGAACACCAGUGGUGAAGACGGCCGGCUGGGACAAGACUGACGCUGAGGCACGAAAGCGUGGGGAGCCAACAGGAUUAGAUACCCUGGUAGUCCACGCUGUAAACGAUGUAUACUAGGUGUCGGGUCGCUUGCGACUCGGUGCUGCAGUUAACGCAUUAAGUAUACCACCUGGGGAGUACGCCGGCAACGGUGAAACUCAAAGGAAUUGACGGGGGCCCGCACAAGCGGUGGAGCAUGUGGCUUAAUUCGAUGCAACGCGAAGAACCUUACCUAGGCUAAAUCUCGGACGACCGGCUCAGAGAUGAGCUUUCCCUUCGGGGCGGCCGAGAAGGUGCUGCAUGGCUGUCGUCAGCUCGUGCCGUGAGGUGUUGGGUUAAGUCCCGCAACGAGCGCAACCCUUAUUGUUAGUUACCAGCGGGUCAAGCCGGGGACUCUAACAAGACUGCCUACGCAAGUAGUGAGGAAGGUGGGGACGACGUCAAGUCAUCAUGGCCCUUACGUCUAGGGCUGCACACGUGCUACAAUGGGCGGUACAGAGGGAAGCUUGUCAGCGAUGGCCGGCGAAUCUCGAAAGCCGUUCUCAGUUCGGAUUGGAGUCUGCAACUCGACUCCAUGAAGUUGGAAUCGCUAGUAAUCGCGUAUCAGCUACGACGCGGUGAAUACGUUCCUACGUUCCCGGGCCUUGUACACACCGCCCGUCAAGCGAUGGAAGUGGGGACUGCCUGAUGUCGCUGCGCGAACUCUUCGGAGA
rnacentral:rRNA from 1 species